ACUACUUUCACUUUGACUCAAUGAUGACAUACUACGUUUGUCGGUGUUUUUUCUCAAAUAAUAUUUUUUUGAAACAAUACAAUUUGCAUGUGACAUACAAGGAUGAAGAGCAGUUUAAGCAUGACUAUUUACAGAAGAAAAAAUCCGGGAAGCAUGUCGAGAGGAAGAGUACCUAGCAUCUGAAUUUUUAGCUCUAGUCCAGGCAUGUAAAGCUAAUAAAUCGGCGUCACUUGAGGAGAUCUUUGACAGAAUUAAAGUGGAAAAGGCCGAGAGAGUGUAUACCUUUCCUAUUUUUACGGAGGAGUUCUGCCGCCUGUUUGUUGAAGAACUAUCACACUUUGAAGAUAGCGAUUGUCCUAAAGGCAGGCCAAACACAAUGAAUAAAUACGGGGUGUUGCUGAAUGAGCUGGGGUUUGACGAGGACUUUCUGACGCCAUUGCGCGAGCACUACAUUGCCGCCAUCACCUCCCUGAUGUACCCUGACUGGGGAGGGGCUUUCCUGGACUCCCACAAAGCGUUCGUGGUCAAGUACAAACUAGGUCAAGACACGGACCUGAAUUAUCACUACGACAAUGCGGAGAUUACUUUGAAUGUGUCACUAGGGAAAACUUUCACUGGCGGCGAGUUGUACUUCGGUGACAUGUUCAGACCUCGUGAGACUUCCAACCAAAAUGCGAGAUUUACUGAGAUCUCGCACGUGCCAUCUAUAGCGCUGCUGCAUAGAGGACAACACAGACAUGGGGCCUCACCGAUAACUAGCGGGGAACGGUAUAACUUAAUAAUUUGGAUGCGAUCCUCGGCAGUUAGAAACGCGUGCUGUCCCAUGUGUUUUGAGGAACCAGAUCUAGUUCCGACUGUCGGAUUUGGGGACGGAUUUACAAAACAGACAGAAACAGUAGAUGUUUGUACUGUUUGAUUUGAUAUAAUAUGUUAAAGUAUGUAUCACACUCACAUCUAAUAUGUCUUUCAAUAUAGUAAAUGACUAAACGAUGUGUUUAACACAGGAAACGUCCUGAUUUUUAUUCCCUCGCUAUCAAUGCAAUGAGAUACAUGUACGAUGAACUUUUUUUCUGCUUCAGACUUAAACUUUGUAUAAUUAUGCCCGUCAUUUCCAACAUUAUUUGAUUGGUUUUUUUUUUCAGUUGGAUGAUAUAUAUCGCUGAAACAGUUAUCUCUCCUGCAAACUAGAAUAUCCUUCUUUACCGGUCCUCAACAGCAAAGUCAAUAUUGCUCAAGGAAUCAUUGAAACUGUUUCAGUAUCAUGAAAAACAAUUUUUCAGAUUAAUUCAUUUUUAUUUAUUUAUUCAUCUUACCAAUUCAGAUUAUCUAAUUUUUAGAACAAUGAUAAAUAUAUGACCCAUU
rnacentral:misc_RNA from 1 species